CUCAUUAUUUAUUUUGUUAGUAGAAGCCAGAAGCUGAUAUGAUGCAUGAACUAGAGAGGAGGGAGGGUGAAUCACCAUCCUCCUGCCUCCAGCCUCCAAUGUGGCAUUUGACUAUGAAUUGCCUGAUGGACAAGUUACUAACUUUGGUGCUGAGAGGUUCCGUCGCCCAGAGGUCCUCUUCCAGCCAACGAUCCUUCCCGUGCGCUGAUCAUGGAUACGACACUCAGAAGAAGAAAAGAUGACACGAAGAUAGUUAGCUGGAAGGUGACUGAGAAAAAUUUCUUUAUAGGAGGAAAAUGGAAUCUAUCAUGAAGAAUCCGGGAUGAAGACAUAGACCCACAGUGUGAAAGAGGUACCCUGGGGUAUGUAAUGAGUGAGGUUGAGGAUGGAAAGCCAUUCAGCCCAGUCGUUAAUGCUGCUAAAAGCCUUGGCUACAUUGAACCAGGUGGAGAUAUACAGCCGUUGUUACGAGAAACAACCUUUGGUUAUCCAAGGUGCUGGAGUAGGAAAUGAUACCACAGCAGCUGGUGUCCUAGCUGAUAUCCUUGACAUUCAAGAUUUAUUCCCUUGACUGAGUAUUAUACACUGAAAUACAAACAUUCGAUCUCAAAGGACGAAAAAUCGACUCUUCUUGUCCCUCUGCUUCUAGAUUGGAGAUUGAAAUCAGGCUAAGAUAGCUCACACAUUUUUUGAAAAAUUUCUCGAUACACCAGAGUGCCUCGUCAGUUUACAGUAGAUUAUUACGCAAUUUCUCUCGUGCAUAACCGUCUCAAAUGGAACAGUUCAAACUGAGUCAUUUGCUUAAGUGCUGGACUAGUUUUUAGGAUAUCACUUCAACUUAUAAUCAGUUUGCUUUGU